UGAAUACGAGACGCUAAGGCGUCGAAGUAGUGUAUAUCAGACUUCCAAGAAAAGCUUGCACUGUCAUAGAUAAAAAAUGCCUGUACCAUAACCGACACAGGUGGGUAGGUAGAGUAUACUAAGGGGCGCGAGAUAACUCUCUCUAAGGAACUCGGCAAAAUAACUCCGUAACUUCGGGAGAAGGAGUGCCUUAUUUAUAAGGUUGCAAUAACAAGAUCCAAGCAACUGUUUAUCAAAAACACAGGUCUCCGCUAAGUCGUAAGACGAUGUAUGGGGGCUGACGCCUGCCCAGUGCCAGAAGGUUAAAGAAGUUGGUUAGCAAUUGCGAAGCUGAUAACUGAAGCCCUGGUGAACGGCGGCCGUAACGAUAACGGUCCUAAGGUAGCGAAAUUCCUUGUCGGGUAAGUUCCGACCCGCACGAAAGGCGUAAUGAUUUGGAUACUGUCUCGGAGAGGGGCUCGGUGAAAUAGACUUGUCUGUGAAGAUGCGGACUACCUGCACCAGGACAGAAAGACCCUAUGAAGCUUUACUGUAACUUGAAAUUGAAAUUGGACUUUAUUCGCGCAGCAUAGGUGGGAGGCGUUGAUUAUAAUCUUGCGGGAUUAUUGGAGCCAUCAGUGAGAUACCACUCUUGUAAUGUUAGAUUUCUAACUUUGAAUCAUUAUCUGGUCAAAGAACAGUUUCAGGCGGGCAGUUUGACUGGGGCGGUCGCCUCCUAAAUGGUAACGGAGGCGUACAAAGGUUUCCUCUGAACGGUUAGAAAUCGUAUCUAGAGUGUAAAGGCAUAAGGAAGCUUGACUGUGAGACCUACAAGUCGAGCAGGGACGAAAGUCGGUCUUAGUGAUCUGACGGUACUGAGUGGAAAGGCCGUCACUCAACGGAUAAAAGUUACUCUAAGGAUAACAGGCUGAUCUCCCCCAAGAGUUCACAUCGACGGGGAGGUUUGGCACCUCGAUGUCGGCUCAUCGCAUCCUGGGGCGGUAGUACGUCCCAAGGGUUGGGCUGUUCGCCCAUGAAAGCGGUACGCGAGCUGGGUUCAGAACGUCGUGAGACAGUUCGGUCCAUAUCCGGUGUAGGCGUUAGAAUAUUGAGAGGAGCCUUCUUUAGUACGAGAGGACCGAGAAGGACAUACCUCUGGUGUACCAGUUAUCGUGCCAACGGUAAACGCUGGGUAGCUAUGUAUGGAGUGGAUAACCGCUGAAAGCAUCUAAGUGGGAAGCCCACCUCAAGAUAAGUAUUCUCC
rnacentral:rRNA from 1 species